GACGAACGCUGGCGGCGUGCUUAACACAUGCAAGUCGAACGGAAAGGCCCUGCUUUUGUGGGGUGCUCGAGUGGCGAACGGGUGAGUAACACGUGAGUAACCUGCCCUUGACUUUGGGAUAACUUCAGGAAACUGGGGCUAAUACCGGAUAGGAGCUCCUGCUGCAUGGUGGGGGUUGGAAAGUUUCGGCGGUUGGGGAUGGACUCGCGGCUUAUCAGCUUGUUGGUGGGGUAGUGGCUUACCAAGGCUUUGACGGGUAGCCGGCCUGAGAGGGUGACCGGCCACAUUGGGACUGAGAGACGGCCCAGACUCGUACGGGAGGCAGCAGUGGGGAAUAUUGCACAAUGGGCGGAAGCCUGAUGCAGAAACGCCGCGUGCGGGAUGACGGCCUUCGGGUUGUAAACCGCUUUCGCCUGUGACGAAGCGUGAGUGACGGUAAUGGGUAAAGAAGCACCGGCUAACUACGUG
rnacentral:rRNA from 1 species